rnacentral:pre_miRNA from 1 species
GAGAGAAGAACAUAUAAGGAUAGCCAAGGAGACUGCCUGAUGUCUUUUGAUGAGUAAAAUGGUCAUACUUGAUAUAACUUAUAGUCAUUUGUCAAUCAUGAUGCUAUAACCAUUUUACUCAAAGAAACAGGCAAGUCAUCCUUGGCUACCAAAUAUGAUUCUCCUCU